CCUCGGCGGGAUUCUCUUGCCCCGGGCGCGUCGCAGCCCCGGAUCCCAUGGCGCCCGCCGGAGGACCAACUCCAAACUCUUUUUUCUCUCCGUCGCGGCUCCCGUCGCGGCUCUGUUUUAUUUUUGCUCUGAGCCUUUCUCGGCGACCCUAGCGGGCGUCUCGAAAAUGAAUCAAAACUUUCAACAACGGAUCUCUUGGUUCUGGCAUCGAUGAAGAACGCAGCGAAAUGCGAUAAGUAAUGUGAAUUGCAGAAUUCAGUGAAUCAUCGAAUCUUUGAACGCACAUUGCGCCCGCCAGUAUUCUGGCGGGCAUGCCUGUCCGAGCGUCAUUUCAACCCUCGAACCCCUCCGGGGGGUCGGCGUUGGGGAUCGGCCCCUCACCGGGCCGCCCCCGAAAUACAGUGGCGGUCUCGCCGCAGCCUCUCCUGCGCAGUAGUUUGCACACUCGCACCGGGAGCGCGGCGCGGCCACAGCCGUAAAACACCCCAAACUUCUGAAAUGUUGACCUCGGAUCAGGUAGGAAUACCCGCUGAA
rnacentral:rRNA from 1 species